rnacentral:rRNA from 1 species
GACGAACGCUGGCGGCGUGCUUAACACAUGCAAGUCGAACGGUGAACUCCGCUUGCGGGGGGAUCAGUGGCGAACGUGUGAGUAACACGUGGGCAACCUGCCCUCAGCUCUGGGAUAACUCCAAGAAAUUGGGGCUAAUACCGGAUAUGACCGCUGACCGCAUGGUCUGGUGGUGGAAAGAUUUAUCGGCUGGGGAUGGGCCCGCGGCCUAUCAGCUUGUUGGUGGGGUAGUGGCGUACCAAGGCGACGACGGGUAGCCGGCCUGAGAGGGUGACCGGCCACACUGGGACUGAGACACGGCCCAGACUCCUACGGGAGGCAGCAGUGGGGAAUAUUGCGCAAUGGGCGAAAGCCUGACGCAGCGACGCCGCGUGGGGGAUGACGGCCUUCGGGUUGUAAACCUCUUUCAGCAGGGACGAAGCGAAAGUGACGGUACCUGCAGAAGAAGCACCGGCCAACUACGUG